rnacentral:rRNA from 1 species
GAUGAACGCUAGCGGCAGGCUUAAUACAUGCAAGUCGUGGGGCAGCAUGAGUAGCAAUACUUGAUGGCGACCGGCAAACGGGUGAGGAACACGUACACAACCUUCCUUCAAGCGGGGAAUAGCCCAGAGAAAUUUGUAUUAAUACCCCAUAAUAUAUUUGAUAAGGCAUCUUAUUAAUAUUAAAGCUUCGGCACUUGAUGAUGGGUGUGCGGCUGAUUAGAUAGUUGGCGGGUAACGGCCCACCAAGUCUACGAUCAGUAGCUGAUGUGAGAGCAUGAUCAGCCACACGGGCACUGAGACACGGGCCCGACUCCUACGGGAGGCAGCAGUAAGGAAUAUUGGACAAUGGACGAAAGUACUGAUCCAGCCAUGCCGCGUGAAGGAUUAAGGUCCUCUGGAUUGUAAACUUCUUUAUAUGGACGAAAAAGGGCGAAUUCUUGUUUCACUUGACGGUACCAUAUGAAUAAG